rnacentral:rRNA from 1 species
GUGUAACAAGGUUUCCGUAGGUGAACCUGCGGAAGGAUCAUUAAUGA